UUUUAAGUUUGAUUUUGGUUUUGGUUGUAUUAAGAUAGUAUUACUUAUUUUUAGUUUAUUUAAUGUGUAAUUUUUUGUUCACUGGUAGUUUUUUGAUUGUUUUAUUAGUGUUCCAGAAUAAUCGGCUAUACAUUUUAAUUUUUAACUCUAAUUGUUGUGAUGUUUUCUUGUUUUUUGGGUUUUUAUUUUGAUCUUUUGUAAAAUAUUUUAAUUUAUUUUUUUUUUGAGAAAAUUUUAAAAAUUUGGAUUAUUGAACUGGAUUAGUACCCAGGUAAUCAAAAUUAAUUAAUUCGGGAGUAAAGUUUUGUUUAAACCGAAAAAAUAUUGACUGACUCUGGAUUUCUUUUUGGAAUAUGUGUAUGGAGAGCCCUCUUUAAUAGUAAAUCUUUUUUUGCACAUGUAUGAUUGUUUAGUUUUUAUUUUGUUUUGUAAUGCUUUUUUUAGAUUUAAAACAGAUAUAUACUUGGCUUAUGGGUUUAUUAAUCAUGUAUUACUAUUAUAAAUUUUUUUUGGAUAGUAUUUUAUUUUUUAUUUGAAAUUGGAAAAAAAAGUAAUUAUUUUUUUAUGUAUUAAUGAAUUUAAUAAAUGGAGUGGUACAAACCAUCCGUCAAUGGCCUAAAGGGGCGUAAGUUGUAGUAUGGUAGAGGUAAGGAAACUUGUUUCUAUGUUAU
rnacentral:ncRNA from 1 species